rnacentral:lncRNA from 1 species
UCACAGCGAAUAUUCGAAGGCUAACUAGGAGUACUAAACAUGAGCUAAUUAUAAAACUAAUUAUAUAGAUGGAGACUAAUUCACGAGACGAAUCUAUAAAGUCUAAUUAAUCCAUCGUUAGCACAUGUUUACUGUAGCAUCACAUUGUCAAAUCAUGGACUAAUUAGACUUAAUAGAUUCGUCUCGCAAAUUAGUCUCCAUCUGUGCAAUUGGUUUUGUAAUUAGCCUAUAUUUAAUACUCCUAAUUAGUAUCUAAACAUUUGAUGUGA